UACGUAGGGGGCAAGCGUUGUCCGGAUUUAUUGGGCGUAAAAGGCUUGUAGGUGGCCACGCCAAGUCGGAUGUGAAAUUUCCCGGCUCAACUGGGAGGGGUCAUUCGAUACUGGCGGGCUCGAGGCCGGUAGGGGGAAGUGGAAUUCCCGGUGUAGUGGUGGAAUGCGUAGAUAUCGGGAGGAACACCAGUGGCGAAGGCGGCUUCCUGGACCGGUUCUGACACUGAGGAGCGAAAGCGUGGGGAGCGAUCCGG
rnacentral:rRNA from 1 species